GGGGGUGAUUUGGCUUCGACGCCGGUCGCGAAACCAUCGGAGCAUGUCGAGGUGUAGAGUUCCUCGUAAAUCCAGCUACACAACUAUAGUUGCCAACGACGACAACUACGCACUAGCCGCUUGAUCGGCUGGUCCUUUCACCCGGUUUGCUCAUAGGCAGGGAUUCGAAAGGUCAUUUCAUAUGGGCUCGCUUGCCAGUUGUGCCUGUUAGCUGGCGGUUAAAACCAAUCGGGCUAACCGUCCGGCACGUUCGUCUGUUGACCAGCCGCGCGGAAAAUCUGAAAACAGACUAAGCAUGUAGUUGCCGGUGAGCGUAGGGUCUGCGGACGCGGGUUCGAUCCCCGCCACCUCCACCA
rnacentral:tmRNA from 1 species